CCCUUAGAUGUUCUGGGCCGCACGCGCGCUACACUGAUGCAUUCAACGAGUCUAAAACCUGCUCUGAUAGGGGUGGGUAUUCUUUUGAAUGUGCAUCGUGAUUGGGAUAGAUGAUUGCAAUUUUUCAUCUUCAACGAGGAAUGCCUAGUAAACGCAAGUCAUCAGCUUGCAUUGAUUACGUCCCUGCCCUUUGUACACACCGCCCGUCGCUCCUACCGAUUGAAUGAUCCGAUGAAUAUCAUGGAUUGAGGAUGCAAGCAGGUUCGCCUGUCUUCAUCUUCGAGAAGUGAAGUAAAUCUUAUCAUUUAGAGGAAGGAGAAGUCGUAACA
rnacentral:rRNA from 1 species